rnacentral:rRNA from 2 species
GCAUAUCAAUAAGCGGAGGAAAAGAAACCAACAGGGAUUGCCUCAGUAACGGCGAGUGAAGCGGCAAGAGCUCAAAUUUGAAAGCUGGCCCCCUCGGGGUCCGCGUUGUAAUUUGCAGAGGAUGCUUCGGGUGCAGCCCCCGUCUAAGUGCCCUGGAACGGGCCGUCAUAGAGGGUGAGAAUCCCGUCUGGGACGGGGUGUCUGCGUCCGUGUGAAGCUCCUUCGACGAGUCGAGUUGUUUGGGAAUGCAGCUCUAAAUGGGUGGUAAAUUUCAUCUAAAGCUAAAUACUGGCCGGAGACCGAUAGCGCACAAGUAGAGUGAUCGAAAGAUGAAAAGCACUUUGAAAAGAGAGUUAAACAGCACGUGAAAUUGUUGAAAGGGAAGCGUUUGCGACCAGACUCGCCCGCGGGGUUCAGCCGGCAUUCGUGCCGGUGUACUUCCCCGUGGGCGGGCCAGCGUCGGUUUGGGCGGCCGGUCAAAGGCCCUCGGAAUGUAUCACCUCUCGGGGUGUCUUAUAGCCGAGGGUGCAAUGCGGCCUGCCCGGACCGAGGAACGCGCUUCGGCUCGGACGCUGGCGUAAUGGUCGCAAAUGACCCGUCUUGAAACACGGACCAAGGAGUCUAACAUCUACGCGAGUGUUCGGGUGUCAAACCCGUACGCGCAGUGAAAGCGAACGGAGGUGGGAGCCCCCUCGCGGGGCGCACCAUCGACCGAUCCUGAUGUCUUCGGAUGGAUUUGAGUACGAGCGUAGCUGUGGGGACCCGAAAGAUGGUGAACUAUGCCUGAAUAGGGCGAAGCCAGAGGAAACUCUGGUGGAGGCUCGCAGCGGUUCUGACGUGCAAAUCGAUCGUCAAAUUUGGGUAUAGGGGCGAAAGACUAAUCGAACCAUCUAGUAGCUGGUUCCUGCCGAAG